GGGCCCGCACAAGCGGUGGAGCAUGUGGUUUAAUUCGAUGAUACGCGAGGAACCUUACCAGGACUUAAAUGUAAGUUGCAUGAUUCAGAAAUGGAUCUUUCUUCGGACUACUUACAAGGUGCUGCAUGGUUGUCGUCAGCUCGUGCCGUGAGGUGUCAGGUUAAGUCCUAUAACGAGCGCAACCCCUAUCGUUAGUUGCCAUCAAGUAAAGUUGGGAACUCUAGCGAAACUGCCGGUGCAAACCGUGAGGAAGGUGGGGAUGACGUCAAAUCAUCACGGCCCUUACGUCCUGGGCCACACACGUGCUACAAUGGUAGGUACAGAGGGAAGCCACCCCGCGAGGGGAGCGGA
rnacentral:rRNA from 1 species